CCCCUGUGGCCAUCGAGACCCCACCCCCGCCGUUGCGGGGAGGGAGGCGCGGUUGGAUGCCCAGAAGAGAGCCCCACGAACGAGGAAAUGGGCACCGCUGCCUGGAGACCCCCCCAAAACACAACUGUAGCACCCAAGUACGGCAAUGGCCUCCCAGCCAUUCAGCAAGUGCCCUAAAGACGAAGUCCGAAAGGUAGCAAGCAAAGGCUAACCAUGCCAGCCCUCGCUUUAUCGGGGGCUUGGGGGAAAAAAGGUGCCAGGGACUAGUUGACACAGCAAACGCCCUUUGGAAGAAGGCACAGAGCCAGAGCUGGUGGUUCGCGCCUACGUUUCACAUCCCUCUUUCGCCCUAAAUACAUAAAGGCCUCUUCAAAAUACCAGGAAUUCCCAGGGGGAUCACAGCACUCGAGCCAGGAGCGCCCGCGCGGGGCCCUCCGAGCUCCUGCGCCCACCCAGGCCUUUGGCACCGGCAGGGGGCGCUGUGCCUCCACCGCGCCGCGUUGGGCGCAGGCAGGAGAGGAGGGGCGGAGUCGCCGGGCCACCCCGCCCUGCCCAGCCGGGCCCUGCCCGCAGGCCGAGGCGCCCCCGAGCCCGGAUCGCGCAGCCCAACAGUCCGCAAACAAAGCUCAGGUGGUUUCCUGGCCUGCCGGUCGGGCUGAAACCAACAAGGCAGGGGGAAACCCAUUAUUUCUGAGGUCUCGCCUCUGCUUCCACGCCCACCUUCCCCUGCGAUUCUGCGAAGCCUGGGCGCGCCUCGGCGGCUCAUUUUGCAUUUUUAACGGGUUUAAAGCCUCUUGGCAGACCUCGCUUUCCCCAGUAGGUUAGAGCAGGCGAAGCGACACGAUCUCUUCUCUAGGAAAAGAGGCGUGGUGGGUGCCCAGUGUUUGCGAAGCAGCCACCCAUGGCCGACCUCUCGGGUCCACCCAAUCGUGGCUAUCUGCCUGGGUCCGGGCAGCGCCGGGCGGCCCCCCGCGGGUGGUCGAGGCGCCACGCACAAGAACAAUCCCGACCGAAAGGCACGAACCGCCUCUUUUUGACCAUCUGGAAAGGUUCUUAAAGGACCCACCGAGUGUUCCCACCCCACAGAUACCAUUUAAAAAUCAAAUGGAUGUGUAAUUCCACAGACAGCUACGAAUAAAGAUUUAGGACAGUGGGAAAGCCUCAUCAAAAGACUAGAAUCCAGCCACACUCCUCUCCACGAAUGAGCCUUGGGAGCCACCAGGAGGGAAGGAGAGAAAGACACCAAAUAAAUGACCACAACCACAGGUAGAAUUUACCUGUCCGUUCGCUUUGGAAGGCGACGAGGCCACAGCCGCCUCCCCAGGCCUCUCCGCGGCGGCUUCUCCCUUCGCUGCGGUCUUGGAGAACUGGGCACCCAUGCUGGCUUCUUCAACAAAGAAACUCAACAGAUCCAAGAGGGGAAACAAAGAGCCUCGGGUUGGUGUAACGACUGGGCGAGCAGCAGCAGCGGCGGCGGCGGCAACAGCGGCAGCGGCACACACACCGGAGGGAGGGGGGUGGGGGUGGUGGAGAGGACAGAACAGAACCGAUUAAAUACACUCCGGAUAAAAAAAUUUUAGUCGAAGAGAUCAAAAAGCAGCAGCACAGGAGGGAGGGAAAAAGGGUGGAAAAGUCGAGCACAAAAAAAGGAGCCCAAGUGUAGUUCGAAAAAAAAAGAAGUAAUAAAAAAAUCCCAGAUUUGUAGCCGCACUGUAGACAAGAGGAAAA